AUUAGAAAAAAAAUAAUGAUAAUACUUAAAGAACACCCCCCCUUUUGUUUAUUUGAGCUCUGCUAGGGUUUCAAAAGAAGCCCAUCCUCGCCGUCAUCGCUCCACCACCGUGAACGGUGGCCAUCGUCGCUCAAAAGGGGAUUUUUCAGUCGGGUUUCAGACACCUUUUAAAGGCCAUACCACCGAGACGUAGAUACACCGAAGGGAGGAGGCUUUCGGCUUCCUUCUAGGUCCGAUUCCGACGAUGGGGAUAGGCAAACGGCGAAGCAGGUGAGUCAGAGGGUGGUUGGCCGGUGGUUGCGGCGCAAGUGGGCAAGUGGGCAAGUGGGGGGUAGGUUUGGCUAGGGUUUAUGUUUUCUGGCUUCGGCUUAGGUCUAGUUGGGCUAACGGGUUGGGGUUUAAAUGUAUUGGGUUGUGGGUUAAGUGGGCUUGUGGGUAAAAGGG